rnacentral:rRNA from 1 species
GUACACACCGCCCGUCGCUACUACCGAUUGAAUGGCUCAGUGAGGUCUUUAGAUUUGAGAUGGGAUAAAACCUAUUUUGAAGAAGUUGAACAAACUUGGUCAUUUAGAGGAAGUAAAAGUCGUAACAAGGUAUUCGUAGGUGAACCUGCAGAAGGAUCA